CUGGGUCGUUUCUUUGUUCUGGGUCGGAUCAUCGUUGUACACAUGGUGUUGUUCCUGCCAAGCCUUGACUUUCAGAGGACGGCAGGACAUGCUGUAUCCAAAUAUGUCCCUCGGACGGCCGGACCAACCUAAUAGAGAGCCCGGGGGCAAAAAUGAGUUGUGCCCCCCCCCGAUCUCCUGUUCUCUCUGUGCAUUGUGUAUAAACCCAGUCACCUUCAAGUUCUCAUCAUGUACAGUUCAUAGACACGUGCCACCAUCAUUAUAUUUUGCCUGGAACCCCAGAAACCGACAAGGGCCCUGUUUCCCAAACGAAGGCUAAUAGCAUCUUAAGAAGCUCCGCAAACCAGUGUUUUUAUUGAAUUUGUUCAUUUUUAAGUCUAUACACUGUCCUCAAACAGAAAUGUAAAAACAACAACUUGUGUUUUUAUUUGUCUUUUUUAGUCAUUUGUCUUAUGUCGUCACAGUGAGGUUGCCAGGUUUGGUGCCAUCGAGCCGGCGCAGAGGCCAAAACCAAAAUCUCAAAGACUGAAUCUGCCAACGCUAUAACCGCAGAUGUUGCACAGAAGUACUGAGCGAAUAAAUACACUGUUGUUCGUCCUUUA